UACGUAGGGGGCAAGCGUUGUCCGGAUUUAUUGGGCGUAAAGAGCGUGUAGGCGGUUAUACAGGUCCGCUGUGAAAACUGGAGGCUUAACCUCCAGACGUCGGUGGAAACCGUAUAACUAGAGUCCGGAAGAGGAGAGUGGAAUUCCUGGUGUAGCGGUGAAAUGCGUAGAUAUAGGAAGGAACACCAGUGGCGAAGGCGACCACCUGGACUGAUACUGACACUGAGGUGCGAAAGCGUGGGGAGCAAACAGGA
rnacentral:rRNA from 1 species